rnacentral:rRNA from 1 species
UACAGAGGGUGCGAGCGUUAAUCGGAAUUACUGGGCGUAAAGCGUGCGUAGACGGUUAUUUAAGUCGGAUGUGAAAGCCCCGGGCUCAACCUGGGAAUUGCAUUCGAGACUGAAUAGCUAGGGUGCGGUAGAGGGAAGCGGAAUUUCCGGUGUAGCGGUGAAAUGCGUAGAUAUCGGAAGGAACAUCAGUGGCGAAGGCGGCUCGCUGGGCCAUUCCUGACGCUGAGACGCGAAAGCUAGGGGAGCGAACAGG